GACGAACGCUGGCGGCGUGCUUAACACAUGCAAGUCGAACGAUGAACCCGGAGCUUGCUCUGGGGGAUUAGUGGCGAACGGGUGAGUAACACGUGAGUAACCUGCCCUGGACUCUGGGAUAAGCGUUGGAAACGACGUCUAAUACCGGAUAGGACCUUGGAUCGCAUGAUCUGGGGUGGAAAGUUUUUUCGGUCUGGGAUGGACUCGCGGCCUAUCAGCUUGUUGGUGGGGUAAUGGCUCACCAAGGCGUCGACGGGUAGCCGGCCUGAGAGGGUGACCGGCCACACUGGGACUGAGACACGGCCCAGACUCCUACGGGAGGCAGCAGUGGGGAAUAUUGCACAAUGGGCGAAAGCCUGAUGCAGCAACGCCGCGUGCGGGAUGACGGCCUUCGGGUUGUAAACCGCUUUUAGUAGGGAAGAAGGGCUUCGGCUUGACGGUACCUGCAGAAAAAGGACCGGCUAACUACGUG
rnacentral:rRNA from 1 species